rnacentral:rRNA from 1 species
GACGAACGCUGGCGGCGUGCUUAACACACGCAAGUCGAGCGGUAAGGCCCUUUCGGGGGUACGACGAGCGGCGAACGGGUGAGUAACACGUGGGUGACCUGCCCUUACGCUCUGGGAUAAGCCUGGGAAACUGGGUCUAAUACCGGAUAUGACUCCAUAACGCAUGUUGUGGGGUGGAAAGCCUUGUGCGGCUAGGGAUGGGCCCGCGGCCUAUCAGCUUGUUGGUGGGGUGAUGGCCUACCAAGGCGACGACGGGUAGCCGGCCUGAGAGGGCGACCGGCCACACUGGGACUGAGACACGGCCCAGACUCCUACGGGAGGCAGCAGUGGGGAAUCUUGCGCAAUGGGCGAAAGCCUGACGCAGCGACGCCGCGUGGGGA